CAAAAACAAAGUUAAAAAUAUAAAAACAAUAACUUAUAGAAACAUCAAUUAAUAAAGUAAUUUUGAAUAAAACUUUAUAUUUAUAAACUUAAUAGUACUGCAGAGAAAACAUUUAAAUUCAAUAAAGCAGCUUUCAAUAGCGUACCUUUUGCAUAAUAGUUUAGCUAGAACAAAGUUUAAAUUAAAAAUCUCGAAGCCUGAUGGGCUAUUAUAUAUUUUAUAUUAGCAAUUAAAAACUAAGUGUAGCAAAACUUUUUUAAAAACAUAUAAUAGAACUUAGAUUCUAUCCGUAUCAGGCGAUAGCUAGUUUUUUCAUAAAGGCAUAGAAGUGCCUAGAUUAAUAUAUUAUUCAAUUACCAUGCUAUUUAGUGUAAUUGAUACUAUAAUCUAAAAUGUUAUUAAGGACAAGCCUAAUAACAAAAACUAUAAGUAUCAAUUUUAUUUUAAAUUUAGGCCUAAAAUUAGCCAUAAUAAAAAACUUGUUACAAACAAUUAAAACAAAAAAUAAAAUAAAUCUACUUUAAAUUAUGAAAAACAUUUCAAAAAUCAAAAAGAAAUACAUUUAUGCUAAAAUGAGUAUUUUUACAAAACAAAAACUUAAAAAUAUUAAAUUAACUACAAAAACAAAUUAAACAAAUUAAUUUUAUAAAAGGAACUCGGCAAUAAACCAUUCUGCCUGUUUAACAAAAACAUCGCUCCUUGAUAAUAAAUGUAUAAGGAGUCAGGCCUGCCCAGUGAUAUAUUUUAACGGCCGCGGUACUCUGACCGUGCAAAGGUAGCAUAAUCAUUUGCCCUAUAAUUAAGGGCUCGUAUGAACGGUUCAACAAGAAUGAAACUGUCUCUUUUAAAAUUACUAAAAUUUGGUCUUUAGGUGAAGAAACCUAAAUAACAUUGAUAGACAAGAAGACCCUAUCGAGCUUUAAAACAAUUAGUUAAAUAAAUAGUAUACACUAGAUCUAACUAAAAAUUUUGGUUGGGGCGACUAGGGAACACACAAAGCUUCCUCAAUACAACCAUUUAUUUAAUGCUUAUUAGCAAUGAUCCAAAGUAUUUGAUUAAUAAAAUUAGUUACCGUAGGGAUAACAGCAUAAUCUUUUUUGAGAGUUCUUAUCGAAAAAAAGGUUUGUGACCUCGAUGUUGGACUAGGAUAUCCUGACAGAUGCAGAAGUCUUCAAAGGUUGGUCUGUUCGACCAAUAAAAUCCUACAUGAUCUGAGUUCAGACCGGCGUAAGCCAGGUUAGUUUCUAUCUUCAAUUAAAAAUUUAAGUCUAGUACGAAAGGACCAACUUAAAAUAAAAAUUAUUUUAUAAGAAAAAAUAUAAUAAUUCCAUUAAAUAUUA
rnacentral:rRNA from 1 species